rnacentral:rRNA from 1 species
UACGAACUGUGCGAACGUUAUUCGGAAUCACUGGGCUUACAGGGUGCGUAGGCGGCUCAACAAGUCAGGUGUGAAAGCCCCCGGCUCAACCGGGGAACUGCGCUUGAAACUGUUAGGCUCGAGUCAGCUAGAGGUACACGGGACUUCCAGUGGAGCGGUGAAAUGUGUUGAUAUUGGAAGGAACACCGGAGGCGAAAGCGGUGUACUGGGGCUGGUCUGACGCUGAGGCACGAAAGCCAGGGGAGCGAACGGG